ensembl:lncRNA
AUUUGAAUGAACGGUAAUAGAAUGAAUAAACACACUAAACUACUCUAAACUAUACAAAAUACGCCAUCUAGUGGUGAACUAUCACACACACACACAUACACACACAUACUAGCCUACUACCUAGUACAGUCAAUAAAUUAGUACAAAGGAGUGUGUUCAGGCCUCAGUGGAGCAUAUCCAGGCGCACUAGCCUGUUUCCUGAGCUCAUGGCGUAUUACAUACAAGGUAAAAUGGGGAAUCUGUGGGCUAGCACAGGUCUGUAUGAUGAUACCAAAUAUUCAUUCAUCGAUCCGGAUUACCACAUAAACAUAGAGGAUUAUUUUCAACAUGUUAACGUCAUUGAACAGGUUGGAAAGAAGCAGGAACGAAAGUGUCGAGUUGAAGGUGGUCAUCAUGGAUUCACUGAGUAUAACCCCUAUCCCCAGCAAACCGAAGUGCUGACUGAUCUCAGCAUCCCCAC